rnacentral:rRNA from 1 species
AGCGAACGCUGGCGGCAGGCUUAACACAUGCAAGUCGAGCGCCCCGCAAGGGGAGCGGCAGACGGGUGAGUAACACGUGGGAACGUACCCUUUGGUUCGGAACAACCCAGGGAAACUUGGGCUAAUACCGGAUAAGUCCGCGAGGAGAAAGAUUUAUCGCCGAAGGAUCGGCCCGCGUCUGAUUAGCUAGUUGGUGUGGUAACGGCGCACCAAGGCGACGAUCAGUAGCUGGUCUGAGAGGAUGAUCAGCCACACUGGGACUGAGACACGGCCCAGACUCCUACGGGAGGCAGCAGUGGGGAAUAUUGGACAAUGGGGGCAACCCUGAUCCAGCCAUGCCGCGUGAGUGAUGAAGGCCCUAGGGUUGUAAAGCUCUUUCGGUGGGGAAGUUAAUGGCGGUACCCACAGAAGAAGCCCCGGCUAACUUCGUG